UACAGCCAUAUCAUAUUGUAACACCUCUUCUCGUAUGAUCACAGAAGUUAAGCAACAUCGAGCUUGGUCAAUAAUUGGGUGACCGCUUGGGAAUGCUAGGUUCUGCAAG